rnacentral:rRNA from 1 species
CGGACGGGUGAGUAACGCGUAGGAAUCUACCCAGUAGUGGGGGACAACAGUCGGAAACGGCUGCUAAUACCGCAUACGCCCUAUGGGGGAAAGCGGGGGACCUUCGGGCCUCGCGCUAUUGGAUGAGCCUGCGUCGGAUUAGCUUGUUGGUGAGGUAAAGGCUCACCAAGGCGACGAUCCGUAGCUGGUCUGAGAGGAUGAUCAGCCACACUGGAACUGAGACACGGUCCAG